GCCGGUUUGGCUCAGUGGAUAGAGCGUUGGCCUGCGGAUGCAAGGGUCCCAGGUUCGAUUCCGGGCAAGGGCA
rnacentral:tRNA from 1 species